CUGUCCUGGGAGUGCUGUGUAAGCUGCUGUAAUUGUGGCCUGGCGAGGAGGGGUAGGGUCUGGAGAAAGCAGGGGACAUUUGUGCUGUUUGGCUUCUGUCAGCUGUCCAGACCCUCUAGCAUCCUUCCUCUUCCUCCUGCUGCCCUGGGAGGAGGCUGGCCUGAGGUGACCAUACCUCUGUCACCAUGAGGCCUGAGGCAUAAAGUUUUUACCUUCCUCACCAUCGUUUCCCCUCCUGGAAAAUGGGAGCCAUAAUAGUCCAUUGCCAUGAGCUUGCAAACGGGCUGGCCUGGAGGUGCAGCUGGAGGAAGCCACCUGUUUUUUCCCCACGUACCCUGGUUGACAGGCCCCACAAUGCAUGAUGUGGUUUUCAGUUUCCCCUGCCAGUUACUUCUGUAUUUUUCCAGCAUAGCCUCAUCUGCUUUGACCUCAGACUCUGGAACCCAGAGCUCCAAAUGUGACCCAAAUCUGUCCUCCCCCUUUCUGCUCCCCCAGAUUCCAUCUGCCUGAUGAAUCCUUCUAAUAAUCUACUGCGGUGGGGGGAUGCCGGCACCCAGGGUUACAGUGACUGCAUCUACAUUAGCCUCUGCUCAUCCCUACUCUGCUGCUGCCUCUGGGCCCCAGAAGUCCCCCAGAUCUGGAAAAAGAACUUGAAAAAAUCCGUGUUUGUCUUUUUCACAGUUCUGGGGAGAAGCAGAGAGGGGAAGCCCAGGAGCUCAGCUCUUAUUUCUCUCUACAUUUUCAAUUUGCAUCAUAAGCAUCAAAGGACUUUUUCCUUCGCAAGGAGAUUUCUGUUAGUAAUAUUAUCUUGGCCAGCCAGGCAAGAGGAGAGAAGAUUUUUCUAAGCCCAGACCCAAGUAUAUCUGAGCGUACUUCUCCCUCAUCCCCCUACUAGAGAUUUAAAUGCAGUAUAUGCCAACUUCAUUUCUAUUUGAAAAGUGACUUUCAUUUCAAACAUAUCCCAUAACACUUCACACAGUUAAAUAAUCAUGUUUACAAAAAUGUGAAAUGGGGGAUAAAGAAACCUGGAUCAACUGUGGCACAUCAUAGAGUGAAGCAGGAGAAAGGAGGGUGUUUUGCAAAAAUUGCCAGGUUAAAAACAAAAAACAGGAGCUGAUAAUUAGCUAGA
rnacentral:lncRNA from 1 species